GAUGAACGCUGGCGGCGUGCUUAACACAUGCAAGUCGAACGAUGAUGCCCAGCUUGCUGGGUGGAUUAGUGGCGAACGGGUGAGUAACACGUGAGUAACCUGCCCCUGACUCUGGGAUAAGCGUUGGAAACGACGUCUAAUACUGGAUAUGACUGCCGGCCGCAUGGUCUGGUGGUGGAAAGAUUUUUUGGUUGGGGAUGGACUCGCGGCCUAUCAGCUUGUUGGUGAGGUAAUGGCUCACCAAGGCGACGACGGGUAGCCGGCCUGAGAGGGUGACCGGCCACACUGGGACUGAGACACGGCCCAGACUCCUACGGGAGGCAGCAGUGGGGAAUAUUGCACAAUGGGCGAAAGCCUGAUGCAGCAACGCCGCGUGAGGGAUGACGGCCUUCGGGUUGUAAACCUCUUUUAGUAGGGAAGAAGCGAAAGUGACGGUACCUGCAGAAAAAGCACCGGCUAACUACGUGCCAGCCGCCGCAGUAA
rnacentral:rRNA from 1 species